CUUUCAGGUGACACUGGGUGAGGGAGGAAUCUCACUGCCUGUCCUGGGCCUCAGUUCUCAGAAGCAGCCCUCAGGUCCCAUGCCACUUUGGAGGUAUGGAGGUCUGAGGGUCUAUCCCACAGCAACAGCCUCUCCCACUGCAUUGCUCCUGGCACUAGGGACCCCACUGGCCGCCUGCCCACCCUGCUUGCUACCUGCCUGUCCUUGCUUUACCAUCCCAUCUGACUUCAUCUCGUUGGGUUUUUCUUUCUCUUGUCAAGGCUCCUUCGUUCAUUUGUUUGUUCUUUCUCUCCUUUUCUCCUUCUCUCCCCUUGCCCCGUUUUUUUUUUUUUUUUUCCUUUUCUCUCUUUUUGUCUUCUGUUCUGUGUACCCAGGCACCCCAUUGAGUAACUUCUUUGACGUAAUUAAACAACUUUUUUCAGACGAGAAGAACGGGCAGGCGGCCCAGGCCCCCAGCACACCCGCCAAGCGGAGUGCCCACGGCCCCCUGGGUGACUCCGCGGCCG
rnacentral:lncRNA from 1 species